AUGGGAGUGGGAGGAGGUGUCCUAAGAAGGGAGUGCAUCUUUCACUGGGACCAUCCCGGCUGGGGGCAAAGCCAAGCAGCCAGUUUCUUCGGAUCCCAUCUCCUGGCCGGCACCGGAAAUAAUCCUUUUAUAAACUGGGUGGAGGGAAUGUUAAUACUUCUCGCCUCGGUGAGUUUGCCCUCCCAGACUUUGAAAGGAAACAGCGUGGGAUUAAAAGAAAAGGGCAGGUGUACCUGGGUGUUAUCGCUUUAGUGUAUCAUUUGGCAUUGUGCAUUUUAUUCGCCAGUGAGCCUUCUCGAGUUCUAGGGCAGACACGCUAAUGUUUGUUGCUGAGCACUGGCAUCAAAAAAGAACCCGUGUGAGGCCUUUCUGCGCUGACCAGUAUGUAUAUUUUCAUGUAUUUCUACCGGGGAGAUCAGUAGAGGCUGAAGUGUAGGGUCUUUAGUGAGUCUGUUACGAACCACAUGGUAGCUGUAGCACGCCUUUUUAUAGCUCUUAUCUGAUGAAAGGAUUACAAUGGCUCCCAUAUGGAUGUAUCAAAAUAUAUUAAUUCAUUAAAAGGUAUUAUAUUCUUGCGCUGUGCAAGCUCCCCCUCCAUCUUUCCCUAGUGGGCAAGUACUGUAUCUUAUCAAAUUUAUAUUUAUUUUACCACCUA
rnacentral:lncRNA from 1 species